AUCUCGCGAGAGAGGACGGAAGCCUGUGGGAGCCCGUGGCCUUUAAAGUACGGUUCAGCCCUUUCCUCCAGGGGUAGUUUGUAAACACCGGGCUCCGGGGCAGCCGAGGGGCGCAUGAAUUAGUGACCUGGAAAGGAAGACUUAGAUGGAAAUGUAAGAAGCACUGCUUACUUGAUAAGAGUUGAGGGAUUCCUGGCAGCUGAGUAAAUAAAGCUCAUGGCCCACCAGCUAGAAAGGGAUUCAUGGAUUCCUUUUUUGUUUGAGUUAAUGAUCCAUUAUUUUGAUUCUGAGAUUGUCCCAGAUUUGUCAACUUUCUGGUCAAAUCAAAUCCUUGCCAUGAAAGAAAGGAUGUGAUAGGUUGUUCGACUUAUGAAAUUCAAGUUACGUGUGAAUUCUGCCAGGUAUGUAUGUAAUAUUUGUUACUUUGAACUAUUUUUCAUGUUUUAAGUUAUAAAAAUUUUCAUAGGUUGUUUCUAGAUACGUACUUCUCAGUUUUCUUUUCCAUAAAUAAGAAAACACGUAGUUUAUCUGAUGUUCCCAUUAUGUUUUUAAAGUAUCAAGUAGAGCAUCAGAAUACACUUUACUAUGCCUUGAAUUAUCCCAGAGUGAGUGCCAAAUAAUACUAGUCCCAUGUGAUGUUCUGUGAAAAAAGGGCUCAGAUA